UCGUCGGCAGAGAUACAAUGGCAAGUGAAAGUUCAAAGCGGAGACUUGUUGAGGUGUUCUCAAUGCGAGCAGUACGCAAGGACAAGACACUUGACACCUCCUGGGCAAAGGACCUUGAUCUGGAUGGAGAUAACCCACUGUGGAUUCGUCUUAGUGCAAUGCACCCUCUGCUGAGCCCUGCUUUGUGUGAGAUAGGCAGGAUGCGGGUAGGGAUCUUCCCUACAGGUAAGCAACUUGCUUACAGCCGCUCACUCGAUGGAGUUUGUAUGGUGUUUGUGUAUCUUGGCGAAAACAAAAAAAGAUAAUCACAUUAUAUACUGAAUUAGUUUAUUACAGAAAAUUAUCAAUAUUAUCACUUGUUACAACAAGAUGAACUUUUAUGACAUUUUGAAUUACACUGCAGUCUGUUAUUUUUACAUCUGCAGCGAUUUGUUGAGCACUUGAUAGUGCAAUUGCAUCGAAUGUAGCCUUGGCC
rnacentral:lncRNA from 1 species